rnacentral:rRNA from 1 species
GACGAACGCUGGCGGCGUGCUUAACACAUGCAAGUCGAACGGAAAGGCCCCAGCUUGCUGGGGUACUCGAGUGGCGAACGGGUGAGUAACACGUGGGUGAUCUGCCCUGCACUCUGGGAUAAGCCUUGGAAACUGGGUCUAAUACCGGAUAGGACCGUGCUUUAGUGUGUGCGGUGGAAAGUUUUUCGGUGCAGGAUGAGCCCGCGGCCUAUCAGCUUGUUGGUGGGGUAAUGGCCUACCAAGGCGGCGACGGGUAGCCGGCCUGAGAGGGUGUACGGCCACAUUGGGACUGAGAAACGGCCCAGACUCCUACGGGAGGCAGCAGUGGGGAAUAUUGCACAAUGGGCGCAAGCCUGAUGCAGCGACGCCGCGUGGGGGAUGACGGCCUUCGGGUUGUAAACCACUUUCGGCAGGGACGAAGCUUUUGUGACGGUACCUGCAUAAGAAGCACCGGCUAACUACGUG